UGCCGCCAGGUAAGAAGUGCCCUUCACCUUCUGAGGCCUCCCCAGCCAUGUGGAACUAGCCAUCUUUCUCCUCUCUUUUAACAAAGCACCCUCGCUGUUGGUCCCUGCAAGCUUCAAAGAAUAAAAGGCAAUGCAGAGAAGGCUGGAGAUCAGGAGAGCAAUGGUGUAUUUCCAGUUUGAGUCCGAAGGCCUGGGAGUCAGCAGAGCUGCUGGUAUAUUUAUGCCCAAAGGCCAAUAAACUCAAGACCCAGGAAAAGCCGAUGUUUCCAUUUGAGUCCAAAGGUAGAGGAAGACCGAUGUCCCAGCUGGAAAGCAGUCAAGCAGAGAGAGUGAAUUCUCCCUUACUCCCUUUGUGUUCUGUUCCAGUUGAUUGGAUGAGGCCCAUCCACAUUAGGGAGGGCAUCUGCUUCACUCAAUCUACUGAUUCAAGUGUUAGUCUCACCCAGAAACGACCUCACAGACAUAUCCAGAAUAACACUUGACCAAAUAUCUGGGCACCCAAAUGUCUGGGCACCCCACGACCCAGUCAAGUUGGCAGAGAAAAUCAACCAUGACAGCAGGGAUACCAA
rnacentral:lncRNA from 10 species